rnacentral:misc_RNA from 1 species
AUCUGACCGCGUUCUACGCAUCUCGCAUGGAGUUUCCGUAUCUGAGCGCAGUGCGGUGUCAGUCGCUUCCGAGCAGCCGUAGUGAAGCUACGCAAGCCGUAUGUCGAGAAUUCAGAUCGCUAUGUAUGUAGAUACAGACUUUGACUAUGCGGGACAUAACCUUAUGGUAAAAAAAAAAGGCUGUGCAAUCUUGUUCGAUCAGUGUAGGUAUUGCAUGCAACGUAUAGCCCAUAAAAGAACCGAGUUACCGAAAUAAAAACAGCCUACGACAUCGAAGAAUUGAACUGCUGCGAGAAUGAACGAGUAUCCGCAUCAAGGUGACUCCGGUAAUACGAUGUUGGAAAACAAAUGCAGAUGGUGAACAAGCCGCAAUUUUGUGAAAGACUAGGAAACAGCACUAUUAACCACAUGCAGCGAUGAUCCGAAGGACGUGACCCAAUCAAUCUAUCUCUGACAACAAACUAAAAAUUAAAUCACACGAUAUGCAGUGAUUAAAACUGAAAGUGUGACAAGUUUAUCACCAUUGCUCCAUACAACCGGAAAUGCUACGAGAACUACUGCAUGUAAAGGGUGGAGCAACCCGGAGGAGAGUCAAGUUAUAUCCGCAGGAACUGCAGAACGAAACGCGAUUUUUUACACGCUCAGGCCAUACUGCUGGAGCAAAGAGCUGCGGCAUCGAGAGACCCGGACUGCCGAGGAGGAGACACGGAGAGUCUUCCUUCGUACACCCUAGUAUCCGGUCUUCCGAGCUAUGAGGAGGCUCUGCAGCAGCUUAAACAGGUUCAGGCCA